rnacentral:rRNA from 1 species
UACGUAGGGUGCGAGCGUUAAUCGGAAUUACUGGGCGUAAAGCGUGCGCAGGCGGUUUUGUAAGCCAGAUGUGAAAUCCCCGGGCUUAACCUGGGAAUGGCAUUUGGGACUGCAAGGCUGGAGUGUGGCAGAGGAGACUGGAAUUCCCGGUGUAGCAGUGAAAUGCGUAGAUAUCAGGAGGAACACCGGUGGCGAAGGCGGGUCUCUGGGCAGUAACUGACGCUGAGGAGCGAAAGCGUGGGGAGCGAACAGG